rnacentral:rRNA from 1 species
UACGGGGGGGGGCAAGCGUUGUUCGGAAUUACUGGGCGUAAAGGGCUCGUAGGCGGCCAACUAAGUCGGACGUGAAAUCCCUCGGCUUAACCGGGGAACGUGCGUCCGAUACUGGAUGGCUAGAGUUCGGGAGAGGGAUGCGGAAUUCCAGGUGUAGCGGUGAAAUGCGUAGAAUAUCUGGAGGAACACCGGUGGCGGAAAGGCGG